UUACGGCCAUAUCACGUUGAAAAACCAGUUCCCGUACAAUCACUGAAGUUAAGCAACCUCGAGCCUGGUCAGUAGAUGAAUGAUCGCUUGGGAAUACCAGGUG